AGCCCUGGGGUGUGAUCACGUCAGAUUGCAAGUCUGAAGAAGCAGGAUAACCCCUGCCGGGGCUU
rnacentral:tRNA from 1 species